rnacentral:rRNA from 1 species
GUAUACGCAACAUCCCUGACCGACCCGAUUUGUCUGAUCUCGAUAGUUAAGCAGGGUCGGGCCUGGUUAGUACUUGCAUGGGAGACAGCCUGCGAAUACUGGUGCUGUAGUCU